UGGGGAAUAUUGGGCAAUGGGCGCAAGCCUGACCCAGCAACGCCGCGUGAAGGAAGAAGGCUUUCGGGUUGUAAACUUCUUUUGACAGGGGAAGAGCAGAAGACGGUACCUGUCGAAUAAGCCACGGCUAACUACGUGCC
rnacentral:rRNA from 1 species